rnacentral:rRNA from 1 species
UGCCUACGGGAGGCUGCAGUGGGGAAUUUUGGACAAUGGGCGCAAGCCUGAUCCAGCAAUGCCGCGUGCGGGAAGAAGGCCUUCGGGUUGUAAACCGCUUUUGUACGGAACGAAAAGGCUCUGGCUAAUACCUGGGGCUGAUGACGGUACCGUAAGAAUAAGCACCGGCUAACUACGUGCCAGCAGCCGCGGUAAUACGUAGGGUGCGAGCGUUAAUCGGAAUUACUGGGCGUAAAGCGUGCGCAGGCGGUCUUGUAAGACAGAGGUGAAAUCCCUGGGCUCAACCUAGGAAUGGCCUUUGUGACUGCAAGGCUGGAGUGCGGCAGAGGGGGAUGGAAUUCCGCGUGUAGCAGUGAAAUGCGUAGAUAUGCGGAGGAACACCGAUGGCGAAGGCAGUCCCCUGGGCCUGCACUGACGCUCAUGCACGAAAGCGUGGGGAGCAAACAGGAUUAGAUACCCCAGUAGUCAA